UACGAAGGGGGCUAGCGUUGCUCGGAAUUACUGGGCGUAAAGGGCGCGUAGGCGGCCCGGUAAGUCCGCUCUGAAAGUCCAGGGCUCAACCCUGGAAAGCGGGUGGAUACUGCCGGGCUAGAAUCCGGAAGAGGCGAGUGGAAUUCCUGGUGUAGCGGUGGAAUGCGCAGAUAUCAGGAGGAACACCGAUGGCGAAGGCAGGUCUCUGGGCAUUAACUGACGCUGAGGAGCGAAAGCAUGGGGAGCGAACAGG
rnacentral:rRNA from 1 species